rnacentral:lncRNA from 1 species
UGAGCUCAAAGUACAAGGCUCACAGUAUAGGAGUAAACCAACGAAGCACAAAGCUAAUGUCGAAUUUUUAAUCGAUAAAAUCAUUCUCCUCGAUGAUGCAAGACAAAAGAGAACUCUGAAAAAAUCACAAAUAGAAGGUCAUCGUAAGGCUAAACUUUUUCAACUCAGUUUUCAGUAAGUUGCUUUUAACUUCCCUUUUUUCUGUGUUCACAGUGUCUGAGCGACAGAAUGCGGUAAAAAAACCACCGUUAAGAACCACGAUUACUAAAAUCUUCGAAGAAAAUAAGUGUGAUCUGCUGGAUCACCCUCUUCAGGCGCCAUUCGUGAAAUGCCCAAACGGGCAUAGUAUUUGCUCUUCAUGUCGCCAACGACUGACUCAAGAUGCUUGUCCUUAUUGUAGAGUCCCUUUAAACUACAGUGAUUAAGGAUACAGUAUUGGACGCAUUUUUUUUUGCUGUCAAUCCAACUCUUUCUUGGGCCUCUCUUUCCAGAGCCUCCGUUAGGCCGGGGGGCCAGGCGAACCUUUGAGUUAGCCUCUGCUGGGCCAUCUAGACUACCAAGAGGUAGGGAGCGCCUGAUCUCUCAGUUGGGCAUAUUGAAUCCUCCCCCACCGCCACCAAGGCAGGAUGCCAAUCUGCGAAGAACGAUUGGAAGGAGCGUGAUUGAGUCGGCUUUCGAAGAGACGUUAUGGGACACUUUAGACGUAGAUGACCUGGGAAACAUCUUUGCAAGAAUCCCUGUCCGAAGGUGCUAAGUAAUGGACCCGAGAUUCAACGUCAGAAUCAAGUUCGGCUUCCGACUCCAGCUCAACGUCAAAUUCGGAUGCUGCAGCAACUCCAAAGCCCAGUGAAGCAAGUAAAAGACUGAAGGGGAAGGAAAAGAUGUCAGAUUCAAGUUCAAAGUCUAAACCUGGCCCAACCUCUAACUCAAAUGCCGAUCCUGCUUCCGGGGCUCAGGCUGUCUCAGUUGUGUCAGCAGGGCGGGUCAUCCUACACGUCUUGAUCCCUUCGGGGAUCAGGGCGGACCGGGAUGUUCCCGCCAUUAGGAACCUAUCAGCUGGAACGGUCUGGGCCACGGCAGUAGGGGUUACCAUGGUUGUGCAUAAAAAAAAGAAGGAGGUUUUUUCAUCAGUUGCAGUCAAUAACUCAAGAAAAGAGGAAGCAGAAAACACCCGCACCCGAAACAGAUAUAGCAAGGACACAAGGACAAGCAGUAGGAACAUCAGGUGAAGGUCUCUCAACAGAUGAAGAAGAGAGUCACUCUACAGAUGAAGAAAUGGACCAGUCUACGGCACCUGCUUCGCCCCAGUGAAUGCCACACGAAAUGAGCCUUUUCGAAAUUUAUGAUCCAAUCCAAAUCCAACUAUCCAAUUUAUGAUUUAUAAAUUUAUGAUUUUUUUUUAAUUUAUGAUGAUCUGCGAUUUAUGAUCCAGUCCUCUAUGAUUUGAGCUUAAAUUAGUUUCCUGUUUGAUUUCAGUCGCUUUCUUUACGAUAAAGUUCCUCUCUUCAAAGCUAAGUACCUAAAAUUUUAAAUUUACAUGGUGCCUUUUUUUUGGGUGUCUUUCAGCUAUUGAAGAAUAAUUUUGCACUUAAUUUGUAGAAUUUUUCUUUUUUUUCUUCUGCUAUUUAUUAUUAAUUUUUUGUUUGUUGGCAACUUGAAUACCUAAAGUAACUUGUUUGCCUUUAGCUUUUUCCUAUUUACUUAGUUAUUGAAGACUAUUUUUUUGUUCUCUGAGAUGAUUCCAAGCAAAACCUUCCGUGCUUUUUAAAAGACAUGCUUGGAAGUGAAAAUAUUGGACUUACGGCAUUACAGUUCAUACAGGGUGUUCGUAAAGUCCCCUCCCCCCCCUCUAACUUUUGACCUAAUUGAGGUAGAGAUUUGAAACUUGGAGG